rnacentral:rRNA from 1 species
CUUUUUGAUUAUAAUUUAAGGUCUAACCUGCCCUAUGAGGAUUUAAAUGGCCGCGGUACUCUAACCGUGCAAAGGUAGCAUAAUCAUUAGUUUCUUAAUUAGAAGCUGGAAUGAAAGGUUGAAUGAGAAAAUAACUGUCUCUAUUUAAAUUUAAUUUGAAUUUUAUUUUUAAGUAAAAAAGCUUAAAUAACUAUAGAAGACGAGAAGACCCUAUAGAGUUUUACUAACUAGUAAAUAAGGAUAAUUAGAAUUUUAUAUUUAUUAUUUUAAUAGUGAGUUUGAUUGGGGUGAUUGAAAAAUUUAUUAAACUUUUUUUUUAUAUUUACAUUUAUUUAUGAGCGUAUGAUCCUUUAUUUUAAGAUUAAAAGAAAAAAUUACCUUAGGGAUAACAGCGUAAUUUUUUUAGAGAGUUCUUAUCGAAAAAAAAGAUUGCGACCUCGAUGUUGGAUUAAAAUAAAAUUUUGGUGUAGAAGCUAAA